UGCUUGCCUCGGCAGCACACUACUAAAAUUGGAAUGAUACAGAGAUUAGCAUGGCCUCUGCACAAGGAUGACACGCAAAUUCAUGAAGCGUUCCAUAUUUUU